UUGACCGCCUCACCGGCGCGCCGCUAGGUUGUGGGAACCAUCUGCGGCGUCGCGAGGGAAACCGGUGCAACUCCGGUGCGGUCGCGCCACUGUGAACGGAUCCGUCGGAUCCGUGAGUCAGGACGCUCACGCGCCGCAGGCCUGUCGA
rnacentral:ncRNA from 2 species